CCCGGAUUGAACGGUUUGUUUGAGCUCUUUUUUUGCUGAACGAAUUUUUAAUUCAGUGCGACAAUUACUUGCAAAAAAAAGCGAGCCGUGAAAGCCGGAAAUGUG
rnacentral:misc_RNA from 1 species